GUGAACACACACCGGGAGAAGCCUGAGAAUGUGGACAUCACCCGGGAACCUGAGGAAGCCCUGGAUACUGUCCCAGCCCACUACUGAGCCCUUUCCAAGAAGUCAAACUGCCUGUGUCCUCAUCGCCUUCCACCUUUAGGAAAUGCUAUCUUUGCUCUUCUCCUACUCUGCCUUGGCCUCACUGAGGCACCCCACUUCCAGUGAAGAAGUCCUCCGCAACUCCCAAACAAGCCUCGCUUGCUGGCCGCAACCAAGGAGCUAUCUAGCUCUGGAGGAAACUUUCUUUCUUAAUUCCUAUUCUCUGACGAAUAAAGACUUACUGCCUACAAGAG
rnacentral:lncRNA from 1 species